CUCACGCUGUGUACAUGGUUUUCAUCUGUGUCUGACAGCAGCAUCUGUCUGUGUUUUGCAUUCAGAUCUUGUUAUCCACACAAACGUCAUGCAGCCAACAAGUAAGCUGGGAUCACAAUACUGGCCUAGUGUUGUGUCUUUGGAUAUAUCUUCCACUGGCCAGCCUCCAAAUUCCCACACACAG
ensembl:snoRNA